GAUGAACGCUGGCGGCGUGCCUAAUACAUGCAAGUCGAGCGAACAGACGCGGAGCUUGCUCCUCUGCCGUUAGCGGCGGACGGGUGAGUAACACGUGGAUAACCUACCUAUAAGACUGGGAUAACUUCGUGAAACCGGAGCUAAUACCGGAUAAUCUAUUGAACCGCAUGGUUCAAUAGUGAAUGACGGUUUUGCUGUCACUUAUAGAUGUAUCCGCGCCGCAUUAGCUAGUUGGUAAGGUAACGGCUUACCAAGGCAACGAUGCGUAGCCGACCUGAGAGGGUGAUCGGCCACACUGGAACUGAGACACGGUCCAGACUCCUACGGGAGGCAGCAGUAGGGAAGCUGCCGCAAUGGGCGAAAGCCUGACGGAGCAACGCCGCGUGAGUGAUGAAGGUCUUCGGAUCGUAGAACUCUGUUAUGAGGGAAGAACAAAUGUGUAAGUAACUAUGCACGUCUUGACGGUACCUAAUCAGAAAGCCACGGCUAACUACGUG
rnacentral:rRNA from 1 species